UACGGAGGGUGCAAACGUUGCUCGGAAUCAUUGGGCGUAAAGCGUGCGUAGGUGGUUUGUUAAGUCUGAUGUGAAAGCCCUGGGCUCAACCUGGGAAUUGCAUUGGAUACUGUCGAGGCUAGAGUGCGGUAGAGGGUAGUGGAAUUCCCGGUGUAGCAGUGAAAUGCGUAGAGAUCGGGAGGAACGACCAGUGGCGGAAGGC
rnacentral:rRNA from 1 species